GUAAAUUAGUUAGUCAACCAUCCAAUGAAAUACCGGCACUUGUCGCCACCAAUUCCAUUUAUUUUUCCCUUCUCACUCUUGGUAUUUAAAGUCAACAAUUGUAGCUAAUGUAUCAGAUAUUUUGAGGGUUAAUUAGCUGAAAUAAAAUGAGAAGAUUAAGGUAAUAAAAUAUGGGUCAAGUGGUGUGUUUACCCGGCAACAAACGGUACCCGUCGGUUUGAACUGAUUUUUCUUCAAUCGCGUAUACUAGGGCUUUUACUUCCUAAUCACUAACUUAUUAUUAUCACUUCAAAUCAUAAAAUAUUUUCUCAUCCAAAAGUCACUCUUAAGCACCAAAUUUGAUAAUCACUCCGUAC
rnacentral:lncRNA from 1 species